CACGUAGGGCGCAAGCGUUGUCCGGAAUUAUUGGGCGUAAAGAGCUCGUAGGUGGUUUGUUACGUCUGCUGUGAAAACCUAGGGCUUAACCCUGGGCUUGCAGUGGAUACGGGCAGACUAGAGGUAGGUAGGGGAGAAUGGAAUUCCUGGUGUAGCGGUGAAAUGCGCAGAUAUCAGGAGGAACACCGGUGGCGAAGGCGGGUCUCUGGGCAAUUCCUGACGCUGAGGCGCUAAAGCGUGGGGAGCAAACGGG
rnacentral:rRNA from 1 species